UACGGAAGGGGCAAGCGUUGUUCGGAAUCAUUGGGCGUAAAGGGCGCGUAGGUGGUGGCUUAAGCGUGCGGUGAAAGCUCGGAGCUCAACUCCGAGUCGGCCGUGCGAACUGGGCUCACUGGAGCAUAGUAGAGGCAGGUGGAAUUCCGGGUGUAGCGGUGGAAUGCGUAGAGAUCCGGAAGAACACCGGUAGCGAAGGCGGCCUGCUGGGCUAUGGCUGACACUGAGGCGCGACAGCGUGGGGAGCAAACAGG
rnacentral:rRNA from 1 species